rnacentral:rRNA from 1 species
CCUACGGGAGGCAGCAGUGGGGAAUAUUGCACAAUGGGCGCAAGCCUGAUGCAGCCAUGCCGCGUGUGUGAAGAAGGCCUUCGGGUUGUAAAGCACUUUCAGCGGGGAGGAAGGCGGUGAGGUUAAUAACCUCAUCGAUUGACGUUACCCGCAGAAGAAGCACCGGCUAACUCCGUGCCAGCAGCCGCGGUAAUACGGAGGGUGCAAGCGUUAAUCGGAAUUACUGGGCGUAAAGCGCACGCAGGCGGUCUGUCAAGUCGGAUGUGAAAUCCCCGGGCUCAACCUGGGAACUGCAUUCGAAACUGGCAGGCUAGAGUCUUGUAGAGGGGGGUAGAAUUCCAGGUGUAGCGGUGAAUUGCGUAGAGAUCUGGAGGAAUACCGGUGGCGAAGGCGGCCCCCUGGACAAAGACUGACGCUCAGGUGCGAAAGCGUGGGGAGCAAACAGGAUUAGAUACCCUAGUAGUC